UAUUAUUAUUAUUAUACCUUAUAGGAUCAUAUACUACUGAUAGGCUGGUAUUCAGUGACAGUAUUGGAUGCUACUGAUGGUUCAAUACUAGUCCAACACAUACUCUCCUCUCCUCCUUUAUCCAAACCAGUCAUUAGUGACUUCACUGAUGAUUCAUCCAAUGACAUUAUAAUACAAACACAGCAUGGUCUGAUAGGAUUAUCACUGGUCCAUAGAUCAGGAUUCCUCCACUCCACUAUAUUGUCAUUGUUCAUUGGAUUCAUUAUUGUCCUGGUGGCUGUGUACACUAGACAGAGAACUGGUUUCCUCAUGCCUAAAAUAAAGGAGGCACAGGAUUAAUGACUUGUAACUGAGAAUUGAUCUGUGUGUGUAUGUGUGUACAUUUUUUUUAUAAUUAUUGAUUUGGCAUGAUUUACUUUUUGCUUUCAUUUAAUGCUGUGUUUACAC